GGAGAAUGGUGUGAACCCAGGAGGCGGAGCUUGCAGUGAGCCAAGAUCGCACCACUGCACUCCAGCCUGGUGACAGAGCAAGACUCCAUCUCAAAAUAAAUAAAUAAAAAAUAAAUAAAAGCACUCACUUUCUGCUCAAAAAGUGAGGUGGUGCCCCUAAGGCAGGAAGUCUGCAUAUGUUCUCCUAAGUUAGCUUUGGAAUAAAAAGUCACUUUCUUUAUACCAGGCCUCACUCUUGUUAAUUGGACUCUGCAAGCAGCUGCAUUUUGGUUACACUUUGGUACAUUCAGUAAUAGCUUUUCUUUUCUUUUCUCUUCUCUUCUUUUCUUUCUUGAAAGGGUCUCACUGUCAUCCAGGCUAGAGUGCAAUGAUGCAAUCAUGGCCCACUGCAGCCUCAAUCUUCUGGAUUCAAGUGAUCCUCCCACUUCAGCCUCCUGAGUAGCUGGAACUACAGGUUAGGUAGAAGCACUUGAAAAAACAAUCAGGACCAACCUGUCUUUCCGUCUCCAAGAGAAGUUGAAUCAAGAUCUGGCAUUGAUCAUGAGAUCCUGGACAUAAUGUCAAUGCAAUCAUUGGACAAGUCUUUUGGGAUAUCUUGGGGAAGAGGAUGAGUAUAUUUUUCCCAGCAGCCAGGAAGGAAAUGAAUAUUUAUGAUCCAGUGUGCAGAUCAUGAUGCUGGCAAGGUUGCGGAGCAAAGGGAACACUUAUACACUGUUGAUGGGAGUGUAAAUUAGUUCAACCAUUGUGGAAAGCAGUGUGGUGAUUCCUCAAAGAGCUAAAAACAGAACUACUAUUUGACCCAGCAAUCCCAUUACCAGGUAUAUACGCAAAGGAACAUAAAGACAUAUGCACCUGAAUGUUUACUGAAGCACUAUUCACAAUACCAAAGACAUGGAAUCAACCUAAAUGCUCAUCAAUGACAGAUUGGGUAAAGAAAAUGUGGUACAGAUGCACCAUGGAAUACUAUGCAGCUGUAAAAAAGAAUGAGAUCAUGUCUUUUGCAGAAAAAUGGAUGGAACUGGAGGCCAUUUUCCCUAGCAAACAACUACAGGAACAGAAAACCAAAUAUCACAUGUUCUCACAUACAAG
rnacentral:lncRNA from 1 species